UGGGGAAUUUUGGACAAUGGGCGAAAGCCUGAUCCAGCAAUGCCGCGUGUGUGAAGAAGGCCUUCGGGUUGUAAAGCACUUUUGUCCGGAAAGAAAUCCUUGGCUCUAAUACAGUCGGGGGAUGACGGUACCGGAAGAAUAAGCACCGGCUAACUACGUGCCAGCAGCCGCGGUAAUACGUAGGGUGCAAGCGUUAAUCGGAAUUACUGGGCGUAAAGCGUGCGCAGGCGGUUUGCUAAGACCGAUGUGAAAUCCCCGGGCUCAACCUGGGAACUGCAUUGGUGACUGGCAGGCUAGAGUAUGGCAGAGGGGGGUAGAAUUCCACGUGUAGCAGUGAAAUGCGUAGAGAUGUGGAGGAAUACCGAUGGCGAAGGCAGCCCCCUGGGCCAAUACUGACGCUCAUGCACGAAAGCGUGGGGAGCAAACAGGAUUAGAUACCCUGGUAGUCCACGCCCUAAACGAUGUCAACUAGUUGUUGGGGAUUCAUUUCCUUAGUAACGUAGCUAACGCGUGAAGUUGACCGCCUGGGGAGUACGUCGCAAGAUUAAAACUUAAAUGAAUUGNC
rnacentral:rRNA from 1 species